AGCAAACGCUGGCGGCAGGCCUAACACAUGCAAGUCGAACGGAUCCUUCGGGAUUAGUGGCGGACGGGUGAGUAACACGCGGGAACGUGCCCUUUGGUUCGGAACAACUCAGGGAAACUUGAGCUAAUACCGGAUGUGCCCUUCGGGGGAAAGAUUUAUCGCCAUUGGAGCGGCCCGCGUCUGAUUAGCUAGUUGGUGAGGUAAAGGCUCACCAAGGCGACGAUCAGUAGCUGGUCUGAGAGGAUGAUCAGCCACAUUGGGACUGAGACACGGCCCAAACUCCUACGGGAGGCAGCAGUGGGGAAUCUUGCGCAAUGGGCGAAAGCCUGACGCAGCCAUGCCGCGUGAAUGAUGAAGGUCUUAGGAUUGUAAAAUUCUUUCACCGGGGACGAUAAUGACGGUACCCGGAGAAGAGGCCCCGGCUAACUUCGUGCCAGCCGCCGCUGUAAGAC
rnacentral:rRNA from 1 species